UGUAUUCCAAAUACCAUGUGAGAAUGAAAGCUAGAUAAUAGAGCAAUCAAGAAGGAUCCAUCAGCUAAGUGAGUGGUUGACUGCUCAGUUGAGUAAAUAGGGGCAGAGUUGUUGUUUGCUGGUGGUUGAUGUGUCUCUAGUGAACUUCUCCUGCUGUUCUUCAUGUCAGCCAUAAAGGCUGACUGGAUAAUGUUGUAGAAAUGCCCAUCUUGAAAGGCUCCAUGAAGGUUGAAUGCUGGUAGUGCACUGCAGUAUGUUUGUUUCUUAGGUUCCUUGAAACCACUGUUUAGCAGAUGUAAUUCAAAGUAGUAUCUGGUGAAAUUGCUAUGCUGUUUCAGUAGUAUUUUUGUAUUCCUUGAGGCAUGUAUGGAUGAAUAAUUAGUGCAAACGAAACUGUUUCAUCAGAGUGAGCACAUAAGUGCUAAUACCAUUGAUGGAAACUACACCACUUGCAGAGUUAAACACCUUGUACCUAUAAAAAUAGCAAAAUUAUUAGUUAAAAUAGGGGUGGGGGGCUGACUCCUGAAUGGUCUGCAUCCUGCUACCUAUGCCUUGGCUUCAUAGCUUCCAAUAUCCAUCAAAAGUGAGCUGAACUUCUGUGUUGUGGGAAACCUGCAGAUAUGAGUAUUAUCAGAUGCAACUAUACAUCAUGACCAUAUAGGCUUGCUUCUCUGUUCCUCAAGUAGUGGUUUUCUGUUGAUCUCAAACUCUGUAGGUUGUUUCUGCAUUGUGCCAUAUAGGCUUGCUUCUCUGUUCCACAAGUAUUGGUUUUCUGUUGAUCUCAAACUUUGUAGGUUGUUUCUGUUUUGUGUAAAUGUGGUUGAUGUUCUCCUGAAGCUCAUAAGGUUAUCAGCAGUAUUCAAUUGAAGUGAUUGCCAUCUUCUUGGUACAGAACACUUGCAGAGUUCUUGAUACAUAUCACGUGCAAAAACCUACUAAUUCACUUCAAUUUCGUUUCUUUGGUUGAGGUUAACUGAACCUCUAGUACCUGCAAAAACCCAUCAAUUCACUUCAAUUUCGUUUCUUUUGUUGAGGUUAACUGAAGCUCUAGUUCUAUCGACUGGGAAUUAUUUCAGUUUAGCUCAUUUAUUGACAUUUGAGUUUUCAGUUUUGUUACCUUUAUGAUUGUGUUCUUGAUGUUUUCUCUGUCAAAGUUAUUAUUAUAGAGUUUAUAUCUUUUUUUUUUGUCCAGGACGACAUAAUGUCUAAAAUUCUAUCUGUGUCUCAGCUUGAAGAUGGGUCCAUUGAGCCUCCAAAAGAUUUCUCACAAAUUUAUUUGGAGGAAGUCGGUGUUAAGAAGACGUGCAUUUAUGGUCUUGCUUCUCAAGCUCCUUUCUAUGGGCAUGUUGGUGCUUCCUCCAGCUCGAUAUCUCCACCUCUAGAUCUAGACUUCAAUGCUCGGGUGAGUGAAUGUGUAGGACAUCGUUUGCAAGAAAUUAAGGAAGAGAUGAAGCAUGAGAUGAGAUCUGAGAUAAGAGAAGAGAUUAGACAAGAAAUGAGAGAAGAAAUGCGUGAAGAAAUGAGACACGAAAUGCAGCAAGAGGUGUGCGAGCAAGUUGAUCAACUACUCCAAAACCGUCUGUCGAUCCUCAUAGGUGGCUUACCUACACCGCCUUCUCGUAGGCACGACUCGUCGCCAAAUAACACGAGUCAAAUUUAGAUUUAUGUUAGCUUCUUUUAUGUUAGACACGUCUUGGAUUCUGCAACUCGUCGCCAAAUGACACGAGUCACAUUUAGAUUUAUAUUAGCUUCUUUUAUGUUAGACACAUCUUGGAUUCUGCUUUCAACUUCAUGAUACAUAUUAUUAUUUAUAAAGUUUUGGUAAGUUUUAGUAUGUUUAAGUAAGACACUUAAAAUUAACAAUUAUUGUAUUAACCAUUAUAAAUUUGUUCCUCUAGGUACUUAGUCGUAUUCCCAUUCAAUUAAGUCAGAAUACACACAAUCCCUACACAUGAUUUCUAUGUACACACAAGAAGAGAAAUUUAAAGACAAACUGACCUUUUUGCGGGCAAUGAACUAGGGCGAGGAGGCUUAGAUCUUUCGGACAUUGACUCGGUUCCACUACCUCGGAUAAAUAUGAAUCAACGGAAUAAGCUAAUAAUCAUUUAGUGAAAUCCACUAGAGACCGAGAAGAAAUAGCUAGAUUAGUUAAAAAUGAGCAAUGAGCUUCUCUGAAGGUAAAAAAAGAAAACACCCCAAAAAAAAACUCCUAAACGCUGAUAUUUAUAGAUAAAGCAGAAUUUCAAAAUAAGGAAUUCAAAAUUGAGCUCGAUCUACAUACCUCAACACGGCCCGUUUGAAUUCGAACGUCAGGGAUUCAUUCUUCACCUGACUUGGUCUCAGAGAGAGAUGUUAAAAGAAUAAAUUUGCACCAAAAUGGUGCAACCCAAUUUGUACGGUAAUGAAGAAGAUGGGGUUUUGUUAAAAGAAGGAAAAGAGAAAGGAAUAGUGAGGAGCGUG
rnacentral:lncRNA from 1 species